GGAUGCGAUCUUACAAACACUAACACACCGGAUCCCAUCAGAACUCCGAAGCUAAGUGUGCUUGGGCGAGAGUAGUACUAGGAUGGGUGCCCCCGGGAAGUCCUCGUGUUGCAUCCC
rnacentral:rRNA from 1 species